rnacentral:rRNA from 1 species
UACGUAGGCAGCAAGCGUUGUUCGGAGUUACUGGGCGUAAAGGGUGUGUAGGCGGUUGGAUAAGAGUGGUGUGAAAUCUCCCGGCUCAACUGGGAGGGGUCAUUCGAUACUGGCGGGCUCGAGGCCGGUAGGGGGAAGUGGAAUUCCCGGUGUAGUGGUGGAAUGCGUAGAUAUCGGGAGGAACACCAGUGGCGAAGGCGGCUUCCUGGACCGGUUCUGACACUGAGGAGCGAAAGCGUGGGGAGCGAUCCGG